UUCAAAGGUCUGCACUCAUUCAAAAUACAAACCUCUGCCAUUCCUUCAAAAUUCAAACAUCUGCCCUUCAUUCAAAAUUCAAAUCUCUGGCCAGAUUCAAAAUUCUGGCUCUAGAUCAAAAUUCAAAUCACAUACGUAUAAAAGAUCACACCAUCUGUAGAGAGAACCAGAGAAAAAAAAAGGCAUGGGUAAUUAGCAGAGAACAUGGAGCUUCAAUGGCUUCUCCAAAGAAAGAUAUACUUCUAUAAUGACGAAAAUGAUGAAAAUCACCACUCGAUUGUAUCGCUAUUGAAUCUUCUCCUCUUCCUCCUCCCAAAAUGAUGAAAAUUAGGGUUUGUUCAUCAUCACCCUCCUUAUUCUAUCAUCUUCAUUCUUUCUUCAAGGAGAGAUGAGGGAACGUGAACAUGAGUUGUUGUUUCGUCAGUUUGAGAAUUUGCAGUCACAGUCGCUGAUACAUUUUGUUCCAUAGCUUAGCAAAAACACCAGAUGUAGAAACAAAGACAAAUCCUAUAGACCGUGUUAUGGCGCGCUUGCUUUUUCACACGCCAACCAGGGAACUUGUGCAGUCACCAACAAUGAAAUUUCAUAAUGAGCACCACAGAGAUAAUCAGGCAUAGUGGGAGCUGCAGUAGCAGGGGUUGUUCUCGUCGGUGGACUCACCUUCGCAACUUUAUCUAUAAAUAGAUGCGCACCUAGGCCAAAAAAAACAUGGAAACUUUGACGAAACAUCAGGAAGAGUCAUUGACCUCUGAUCAGAAUGAUAAUGUUGAAGAUUAAAGAACCGAGACAAAAACGAUAACUAUGUUUCCAACGAAAAAGAAAAUGAAAUUACAAAUGAUAAUGAACCAGACCAUAGUACCACCAUCGAAGGCAGCGAUGUGACGGACAACAUUUCUGUACAACCGGAGUUACAAGAGGAGUUACCUGAACACAAAUUUGUAAAGAAUGAAAUUAAUACAAGCAAGUAUGAUUGAUGUUAGGUUAUUGAAGGUGAUGUUCAGCCCGGUGACUUGUGCUCACGCCAUGAAUAUGCUCGAUGGUUGGUUUCUGCCAGCAGUGCUUUUUCUAGGUACAUAUUGUGAGUAAUUGUGAAUUUAGAAGGUGAAUUUCGUUGGUUUAAACUUUAAAUGAAGCAAUUAUGCUUGUAAUGAAUGAUGAAACUAUGCAUCAGUUAUGUAAACAGGUUGUUUCACAGGUAUAUGCUUACUUUCAUAUGUGAUAUGAUCUACUAAAUGUUUCUAAGUUCAGGUAUAUGUGACAAGAAAACGUAUGUAACUGUUGAUGAAUAGUGAUAAGAAGAGGAAAGAGAGGUUGAGUGAGAGUGGUGGCAAUGUACCGAAGAAGUUGAAACCUCUGUUUGUUGUGAAACAUGUAUUUGGCAAAGGUAUAGCUCAUUAGUUCAUAUCGACACUACACUAACCAGGGCCAAAUUCGAAGAAUUGUGCUCAGAUUUACUCGACAGGCUUAAAAUGCUAGUUGAAACGGCUUUAAAGGAUGCAAAUCUUUCGCUUAAAGAUAUUGUUGUUGUUUAUAAUGAAGGUAGGUAUACCAGAGUUUUUAAAUGGAAUCGGUAACGGAGUGGAGACGUAUGCAGAAAAGCUUGAAGCUGAAUUUGGAGAUUUACAGAAUCUGUUGGUUGCUCGAUCUAUGAAACUAAAGAAGCUCAGUGUUGGAGCUGAUCCGAAAUCUACUUAUUUUUUAAAAGAUCGUGUACAUUUGUAAACAUAUGUUUGGUUACCUUCAGCCACGUGAAAAUUCUGAUUUUAUUUAUUUUUCAGUUAAUGUAGAUUUCGUACAUAUUUUCUUUGUGACAUGAACAUGUAUAAGUAUCUAAUUUUGUUUACUUA